AUUGAACGCUGGCGGCAUGCCUUACACAUGCAAGUCGAACGGUAACAGGUCUUCGGAUGCUGACGAGUGGCGAACGGGUGAGUAAUACAUCGGAACGUGCCUAGUAGUGGGGGAUAACUACUCGAAAGAGUGGCUAAUACCGCAUGAGAUCUACGGAUGAAAGCAGGGGAUCGCAAGACCUUGUGCUACUAGAGCGGCCGAUGGCAGAUUAGGUAGUUGGUGGGAUAAAAGCUUACCAAGCCGACGAUCUGUAGCUGGUCUGAGAGGACGAUCAGCCACACUGGGACUGAGAAACGGCCCAGACUCCUACGGGAGGCAGCAGUGGGGAAGUUUGGACAAUGGGCGCAAGGCUGAUCCAGCAAUGCCGCGUGCAGGAUGAAGGCCUUCGGGUUGUAAACUGCUUUUGUACGGAACGAAAAGCCCCGGGUUAAUACCCUGGGGUCAUGACGGUACCGUAAGAAUAAGCACCGGCUAACUACGUGCCAGCCGCCGCGGUAA
rnacentral:rRNA from 1 species